GCCCAGAAUCAAACCCUGCACCUCUGCGGACGCACUCACCAUGCCGCCCGCAGUAACAUAAAAUGCAAAUUUGAUCACAACAAGGCUCUACAAAACAUCGAGACAAAAACCAACGAUUUCUUCAAGGUUUGCUCAUAUCCACUUUUGUGUUCCCCUGAAGGGGAAAGCAACAACUAUGACCUCAGUCUUCUAUUCUGACGCCUUGUCCUUUGAAGCAGUUCUCAACGAAAGAGGUGGAAACAAAGUGUCCUUUCACCAGUGGAUCAGUCUCAAAACGUGCAUGACGUUCCACAAGUCAGCUACAAGCUAAGAUCGAGCGUAAACAACAAGCUGCGGCAUCCAUUGACGAAAAA